AUUGAACGCUGGCGGCAGGCCUAACACAUGCAAGUCGAGCGGAUGACGGGAGCUUGCUCCUUGAUUCAGCGGCGGACGGGUGAGUAAUGCCUAGGAAUCUGCCUGGUAGUGGGGGACAACGUUUCGAAAGGAACGCUAAUACCGCAUACGUCCUACGGGAGAAAGCAGGGGACCUUCGGGCCUUGCGCUAUCAGAUGAGCCUAGGUCGGAUUAGCUAGUAGGUGAGGUAAUGGCUCACCUAGGCGACGAUCUGUAACUGGUCUGAGAGGAUGAUCAGUCAAACUGGAACUGAGACACGGUCCAGACUCCUACGGGAGGCAGCAGUGGGGAAUAUUGGACAAUGGGCGAAAGCCUGAUCCAGCCAUGCCGCGUGUGUGAAGAAGGUCUUCGGAUUGUAAGCACUUUAAGUUGGGAGGAAGGGCAGUAAGUUAAUACCUUGCUGUUUUGACGUUACCGACAGAAUAAGCACCGGCUAACUCUGUGCCAGCCGCCGCGGUAAUAC
rnacentral:rRNA from 1 species